ensembl:lncRNA
CAGGCAGGGAGGGGGGAUAGGGCAAGAGCUCCUGGGCCGGGACAAGGAUCUUGGUCACAGUGCAGUUUCUAGGUCAGGUGGUGGUUGGUGGGUGCAGCACUCACGGUCGCUGCGCUUCCCAACAACACUUCCAUGUGCUCUUCUGUAUGUAGAGUUUCAAAGGUUUACAUACAUAAGCGUAUACUGAGAGAAUAUUAGUACGAGUCCUACUCGAUACUCAGCGCAUAUUUACGUGCAGAUAGCAGGAACAAUAUAAGAACACUAACCACACUGAUAAUUGGGAGAUUGAAAAAUGUGCAGAGAAUUUCUGUGUGUGUGAAAGGUUCAUUUAAAAUUUAUUUCAGGGGAUUUUUAUUACAUUCAGAGGCUCAGACGAUAAGGCACUUUACAUUUGAGUUUUAUAACUUUGUAAUAAGUGGCAAAAACAAAAAGAAAGGAGGACAUCAUGGGACAACAUCAUACUGGAAAAUAGAUUUAUUUUUUAUUAAACUCUGUCUUAAAGAUUUCUUAAACCUAAGAGCUACAACUCUGAAAGUUUUUCUGAGAAUAUAUUACUUCUAAAAGCUAUAUUUUAUGUUCUUUAUAUACUUGGAAAGCUAACAUAAGUUGCGUAAUUGAAAAUGAUAAUUACCUGGUAACUCUUUUGUCCUUAUUAUUGUAUCUCAUGAAAACUUAGGAUUACAAUUAGCUCUUUAUUCAUUACCACGUCGCUUGUAAUGGUAAAAUGUGUGCAUAACAUACAUCCCAAGGUACUUCUUUCUUCCCUGUGAAAUUCAGAUAGUAUUUUACUCUAGCAACAGAUCUUUUAGGCUUUACCUAGAGACGGAGCUUACCUACGCUUGUCUUCUGCCCCACAAGAGUUUUUAGUGGAUGCGGUCAAUAUUCAUAGAGCAGUGCUGGUCCCAAAGGCUGAUGCCAGAAUUGUGGAAUAGGACCCCAUGUAUUCUUUCUGAGAUUUCUGUAACAGAGAUCUACUGAAAUGUUAUUAGAGAAAUACAAAAAUUAGACUAAUCAUCUCAGCAUCCCCGGGCAAUCAGUGGAUGUUAGAGUACUGAAUCGGUGGUCAGAACUGAGCUUGAGUUUCCAACUUCUUAUUUGCUGAAUUGUGAUAUUCAUUUAACAUCUUUGUGCCUCAUUUUCUUCAUAUUAAUAACGUGAUAAAAGCUCCUUUAUCCUCCUCAUAGGAUUGUUAUGAGGCUGGAAGUCAAUACACAUGAAAAAACUUUACACCCUCAAGGAAUAUGCAAAUAUUAGUUUGUCACUAGAGGAAGGUGUUUUUUAUUAAUCAAACAUAAUAAGAUUCAGAGUAAAAUAUUAGAAAAAGCAUAUUUAGGCCUUUUAAAAAUUACUAUGUAAAGUACAUGAAUUUCUCAGCAGAAAGAAGAAGAUGUCUAUAGGGUCUGCUUGAAAAAUCAUUUUAUUGAUUUUCACACAAAUGAACUACAGAUCUUCCCUGACUUACAGUGGGGUUACAUCCCGAUAAACCCAUUGAAAGUUGAAAAUAUCCUAAGUGGAAAAUGCAUUUAAUACAUCUAACCUACUGAACAUCUUAGCUUAGCCUAGCCUACCUUAAAUGUGCUCAGAACACCUACGUUAGCCUACACUUGGGCAAAAUAUCUUACACGAAGCCUAUUUUACAAUAAAGUGUUAAUAUCUCAUGUAGUUUAUUUGUUUGUUUUUGAGGAAGGUUAGCCCUGAGCUAACAUCUGCCGCCAAUCCUCCUCUUUUUGCUGAGAAAGACUGGCCGCGCCGGCCACGCUGGGAGGCUCCCUGUCCCUCCGGGGAAGGGCAGCGCCCAGGGGAGCCUCCGUGCCGGAGUCCCCUGCUCGCGGGCGGCAGCUCGCAGAGGCAGCCCCUCCUCGCCCUCCGGGGGCGAGAAUCUGAGCGACCUCCAGGCGCCCCAGUCCUCACUUGCUGUCCUCC